AGCUUGCUCCACCGGAAAAAGAAGAGUGGCGAACGGGUGAGUAACACGUGGGUAACCUGCCCAUCAGAAGGGGAUAACACUUGGAAACAGGUGCUAAUACCGUAUAACAAUCGAAACCGCAUGGUUUUGAUUUGAAAGGCGCUUUCGGGUGUCGCUGAUGGAUGGACCCGCGGUGCAUUAGCUAGUUGGUGAGGUAACGGCUCACCAAGGCCACGAUGCAUAGCCGACCUGAGAGGGUGAUCGGCCACAUUGGGACUGAGACACGGCCCAAACUCCUACGGGAGGCAGCAGUAGGGAAUCUUCGGCAAUGGACGAAAGUCUGACCGAGCAACGCCGCGUGAGUGAAGAAGGUUUUCGGAUCGUAAAACUCUGUUGUUAGAGAAGAACAAGGAUGAGAGUAACUGUUCAUCCCUUGACGGUAUCUAACCAGAAAGCCACGGCUAACUACGUGCCAGCAGCCGCGGUAAUACGUAGGUGGCAAGCGUUGUCCGGAUUUAUUGGGCGUAAAGCGAGCGCAGGCGGUUUCUUAAGUCUGAUGUGAAAGCCCCCGGCUCAACCGGGGAGGGUCAUUGGAAACUGGGAGACUUGAGUGCAGAAGAGGAGAGUGGAAUUCCAUGUGUAGCGGUGAAAUGCGUAGAUAUAUGGAGGAACACCAGUGGCGAAGGCGGCUCUCUGGUCUGUAACUGACGCUGAGGCUCGAAAGCGUGGGGAGCAAACAGGAUUAGAUACCCUGGUAGUCCACGCCGUAAACGAUGAGUGCUAAGUGUUGGAGGGUUUCCGCCCUUCAGUGCUGCAGCUAACGCAUUAAGCACUCCGCCUGGGGAGUACGACCGCAAGGUUGAAACUCAAAGGAAUUGACGGGGGCCCGCACAAGCGGUGGAGCAUGUGGUUUAAUUCGAAGCAACGCGAAGAACCUUACCAGGUCUUGACAUCCUUUGACCACUCUAGAGAUAGAGCUUCCCCUUCGGGGGCAAAGUGACAGGUGGUGCAUGGUUGUCGUCAGCUCGUGUCGUGAGAUGUUGGGUUAAGUCCCGCAACGAGCGCAACCCUUAUUGUUAGUUGCCAUCAUUCAGUUGGGCACUCUAGCAAGACUGCCGGUGACAAACCGGAGGAAGGUGGGGAUGACGUCAAAUCAUCAUGCCCCUUAUGACCUGGGCUACACACGUGCUACAAUGGGAAGUACAACGAGUCGCGAAGUCGCGAGGCUAAGCUAAUCUCUUAAAGCUUCUCUCAGUUCGGAUUGUAGGCUGCAACUCGCCUACAUGAAGCCGGAAUCGCUAGUAAUCGCGGAUCAGCACGCCGCGGUGAAUACGUUCCCGGGCCUUGUACACACCGCCCGUCACACCACGAGAGUUUUAACACCCGAAGUCGGUGAGGAACCUUUGAGCCACCGCUAAAGGGGG
rnacentral:rRNA from 1 species